rnacentral:lncRNA from 1 species
AUUGGAUCUCCUGGCACUGCAGUUCUGGGUAGUUGUGAGCUGCUAUGUAGGUUUUGGGAACUCAGCUUAGCCUCCUUGCUUUCUGUAAGAGCAGAAAGCACUCAUCACUGAGCCCUAGGCCCACACUUUAGAGGAAUCAAGUCAGGGUAAACAUUAACUUAAUAACUUUAUUCCGUGAAUUUGUCCAUCACCCAUUGAGAUGGAGGAAAGGGUGCUUUGUUUUUAUAUGGCAUGUGAAGAAAGAGGUGUCUGAGGGAGGUUUUGUAGGAUACACGUACCUAUCAGGAGAGUGUCUUUGGGGGCAGGUUGAGUGUUUCCCAGUGGCUUCUGCAUGUUGUAAGAAUGGACUGGAGGGGGAAGAAGCCUGGUGCCAAGAAUGCACUCCAGCCAGCUGCAGAGGGAAUUCCAUCCCCAAAUGUUGACUUGAGUGUUGGUUAUGGUGCAUAUUAGAGAUCACCCAGUAAUCCAGGACAGAUUUUUGUCAUCCUCCAGGAAGUUAUGUUGAUAGUAAAUACUAAUGGGCUUUGGUUCUGGACUUGUAUGUACUCUGCAGAGAGCAUUGCUGGAAUCAUCUCCCCCAUGUAGAGGAGAUGGGCCAUGUGCUGCCCCCACUGCCUUCCUGCAUUUGGGUGGCCUUAUGGCUUUGUUGCUUCUAUAUUCCCAAGUCUGCAGUGUUAGAUAUUAGUUUUCUUUUUCCCUUGGCAUUGGCCGAUUCAUGAUUUUCUGUGGCUCGUCACCAGCAGCCAAGAUUUUUAAAUGCUUUUUACUCUUAAACUUGUUAGUUUUCACCUUGCUUGUUUAAUCUCUGUUGGAAGGACCCCCUUGCCCACCCCCAAGAUACAUCACCAGUAUGAUGGCGGGAUGGGGUGGCAGUGUGAAGGGUUGGUGUGAUAGUCAUUUAAAUGGUUAUUUUUAAAAAACCAUUUGCUGGGUGCCUUGUUUUGUUUUGCCUCCUGUUUUUCUUUCCUUGCUUACAGCCUGCUUACUGCGCCUGCCUGUUACCUUUCAACUGACUGAAGACUGGUGUACUUUGACUUUAAAAACAGAAUGAAUUUGGCUAUGUGGUAGAGGACUAGUGACUGUGUUGUUUUAGUCCAGAGCCUUGAAACUCCUUAUCAUCCAGUUCAGAUAACUUGUGUUUUUGGUUUCCAAGUUCAACCUGUUUAGGAAUCUAGGCUGUCAAAACUAAACACCCCCCCGCCCCCAACACAAC